GACGUAGGGCGCGAGCGUUGUCCGGAUUUAUUGGGCGUAAAGAGCUCGUAGGCGGCUUGUCGCGUCGACCGUGAAAACUUGGGGCUCAACCCCAAGCCUGCGGUCGAUACGGGCAGGCUCGAGUUCGGUAGGGGAGACUGGAAUUCCUGGUGUAGCGGUGAAAUGCGCAGAUAUCAGGAGGAACACCGGUGGCGAAGGCGAGUCUCUGGGCCGAUACUGACGCUGAGGAGCGAAAGCGUGGGGAGCGAACAGG
rnacentral:rRNA from 1 species